rnacentral:misc_RNA from 1 species
GACAGUUUCUGGUUUUUGCUGGUGAAAUUCAAUCGUUCUGGCUCAACCUUCACGACUGCGCCUUUAAAUGCUGAGACUACAACAUGGUAAUUUGAGAUGGGGGAACCCACAUUAGUGACUGUUCUAUGAAGGGUCAGCAUUGAAAGUUUUGUCUUUUCAGGAAAAACUGCAGAGAUGGCUGGGUAGUUCAAGUCCCCUGGAUUAGCAAG